AACACAUUUACAGAAGAGAGAGAGUUUGGAAAGAAAAUGGGGAAUUCAUUCUUAAGCUAUGAACAGCUGGACCAGAGAAAAUUGCAGACCUGGAAAGAGUUCCCAGGUGGAAGAACAAACAAGAUAAUGGAAACAGCAGACAAUGAAAAAAUAAAACUUCCCAGAGUUUAUGGAAUUCUGACUUUCCAAUCUACCUGGCAUUCCCAUCUAAAAGCGAACUGAAAUGAUAUAAUGAGACCUUCACUGUGAUGACUGAAACUCAUGCUAAGCUGGGGCCUACUCACAAAAGUUAAAAUACAAAUUACUGAUGCUGACUUCAUGGUGCAAGAGGAUGCGAGUUCACGGCUUGGCCAUCUGAGAAGAAAUAAUGAUAUAUCCCUUUCAUCUUAUCUUACUACAUUCAUGAUGAUUUCAAGCAGACUCCUAGUUGUCUGAAAAAAACUCUCUUGCUAUGCAUGCAAAAAUGUUGGAUGAUAUAACGAAAUGCCAGUCUGUCUGUAUACCACCUUUCCUUGUAAGUUUGAAAGAGACUAUUCACCUGAAAACUUACCUGCUGCAUUCAUCUGUCAAGGGUGUUCCAUUUUGCUCUACAACAUCUUUUCUAGCCAAGAAUUCUACAGAGAACAAAUCAUGCCCAGCCCUCACAGGGAAGAGUAUGUAGGCUACUGCGACAGAAGGCUUAUAUCUCAGGGUAGAACUCUCUUUUUCAUCAUACCUAUCCCAAAUCAAACUCUACUUUGUUUGUAGAAGUACAGGUAAUUCCACUUGUAUACACCUUUUUUUUAAAACCAAUCUGGUCUUUUUUGUUAAUGCAUAGCAUAGGCUUACUUGUAUUUAAGUUAAAACCUAUAAAACUCUGCCUAAGGAAUAAAUAUUAACUUGUAUCUCAGCUGUUCCUUUAUGGAGUAACCCCCACACCUGCAUGCUUUAAACAAAAUAUCAAAUAGUUUGAUCUUUACUGCAUGAGUGGUGACUAAUUUAAUAUCAGUCAAUAUUUGAUCUGUCCAUUUGAACUUAUAAAUAUUACUUAAAUGAAAUACCCAGCAUGAUUUCUUAAUGGGAGUACAUGGCCCUCACCACUAUUUCUAAUGUAGGAAAACAACCACUGAACACUAACAUGAUUGGAAAGCAUUUACACUAAGAAUGAAGAUAUUUCAAAAAGCUAAAGGAAGACUUUGUCAUUUAUGGAAUUUGUCUCAUGGGAUUUAUGGUAAACUGUUAAAAAUAUUUUCUUAGCAGAGUGACAGCAGAUGUACCAAUCAAUUUGUAGCUCAUCAACAUCCAUGACAAGACAAUUUUUGUUCUUUUAAUGAUUUUCCUGAAACAUCUCCCUUUCAUAGUACCAGGUUUCCAAUGUUGCAAACUGACAUAUCAAUAAUUUUGGUGAACAGCAGACAGAUGUAAUGCUAAAUAAGACUGUUAUUGUAUUGAAUCAAUCCAUUAUAUAAAUAGAACUAAUAAAUAUUAAUAUUCAUCCAUUACUGGGAUGAAUAUUAAGAGUAAGCUGAGAGAUUGCUUCUGAUAAUACCGUGCAGCUUUCUGCACAGACCCAACUCCACUGAUGUUAUAUGUGAACUUCUACUGAUCUAGUGGAAAAGACGCAAUUGUCACCUGAACCAGAAUAAUUAAAGAUGCAAAGUUUAAUUAUUCUGGUUCCGGUGGCAAUGAUGAGAGACACAUGGCAGGGAAGACACUACCUUCUACAAUUAUUUCUUCACCUCAUAAAAUGGGUGGGUGGUCAAACCACAGCCCAUGAGCUGCAUGUGGCUUGCAAGUAGUUUAAACAAAGCUCCUGAAGAAACUCGUUUAAUAGCAAACUACUUGAGCCAGAACCUUGUGCACAGGUCAUUGACCAAGGAAUGCACAUCUCAAAAGUUUUGUGUCCUGUGGCUCAUUGCCAUGUAAAAGUUUGGGCUGUUGCUAGAAAGGUUACGAAGCUUAGCUACCCCGUCAGAAAAGAAUGCUCAGUAGAUUUGAAAAACAGAUUAGAAAAAUUUACCCCUAUCUGAUGGGGUCAAAUCCUCUAGGCUGGCUCCAGUACUCUGGGCUUUGUUCUACUGCAAAGAGGAAAUCUAUAACCCAACCUUUACCUGAAUUCGAAAUAAACCAUGCUUUGGCCACAAUCCAGUAGAAUUUAACAAUGUGAGAAGCUACUGAGGGAUUUAAGUGAUUCUAAAUUCUGCCUGGAGCAUUUUUUCUAGCUGCGUGUGUGGAUUCAUAAACAUUCAUCUGCUGUGGUCUUAGUAUUUUGUGUAUUCCUCAGAAAUACUUUUCCCUGCCUUGAUAAAGGUAUAGUUUCUGGUGGUUUAUAAUACCUUCUGACACAUUUUGAUACCUUGUAUAUUUGGUAUGUCCCUGGGGGGAAGUAGGGGUGGGAAGGUGAGCCUACAAGCAAGAGGACUGAGAGUCCAAUGUGGAGAAUUCCAUACUACUUCACUUCCCAGCCAUGGAGAUGGGUGAAUAUUGUAAAAUAACGUUUAUAAACAGUUACGGCAGCUAAAAUUCAAUUUACUCUUUAUAAACAUUAAGUACGUAUGAGUUUUUGUUCCAACAGAAAGUUAGGCUUCAUUUGUUUGAAGUAGCCACUAAUGAAUAAAGACAUUAAACGCUUGACUACUAGAUUAAUUUAUGCUGCCUGAAAUGAA